AGAGGAGUAGAAGAAACCAGCCACAGGGGCUUCAGGCAGAGAGAAGAGCAGAGCAGGUCUGAGGCUCUGAGGUCACUUUGGCUACAAGGUGUGGAGAAAUAAGAAAGGAAAGAGAGAAAGCAGCAAGGAAGGAACCGUGCAGUACCAUGCUGGGGUGUGCUGAUGGAUCGGAUGUGGGGACGACAGAAACACAGGCACAUGAGGACGGACUCCCCAGUCCCAGCUGGAGGAACAGCCUUGCGCUGCGGUGAGGAGGGGUGGCUGAGAGAUCCGUGCCUGGGAGAGGCCUGCGAGGCAGCUGGCAGCAGGGUGCCUGCCACAUGGAGGGCAGCCAGGGAGGAAGGGAACGGAUUUGGUUUCCUACCACAUGGCCCAGCAAAGGCCCCCGCUCCUCCACAGCAACCUCGCCAACAAACCCCAGUUAUGAACCUCCUAGUUGCUGCAACAAUGGAGAACCGUAAAAGUGACAAGGGGCCUGC